rnacentral:rRNA from 1 species
GCUUGCUUUCUUUGCUGGCGACCGGCGCACGGGUGAGUAACACGUAUCCAACCUACCCUUUACUCGGGGAUAGCCUUUCGAAAGAAAGAUUAAUACCCGAUAGCAUAAUGAUUCCGCAUGGUUUCAUUAUUAAAGGAUUCCGGUAAAGGAUGGGGAUGCGUUCCAUUAGGUUGUUGGUGGGGUAACGGACCACCAAGCCUUCGAUGGAUAGGGGUUCUGAGAGGAAGGUCCCCCACAUUGGAACUGAGACACGGUCCAAACUCCUACGGGAGGCAGCAUG